rnacentral:rRNA from 1 species
GAUGAACGCUGGCGGCGUGCCUAAUACAUGCAAGUCGAGCGAACAGAUGAGGAGCUUGCUCCUCUGACGUUAGCGGCGGACGGGUGAGUAACACGUGGAUAACCUACCUAUAAGACUGGGAUAACUUCGGGAAACCGGAGCUAAUACCGGAUAAUAUAUUGAACCGCAUGGUUCAAUAGUGAAAGACGGUUUUGCUGUCACUUAUAGAUGGAUCCGCGCCGCAUUAGCUAGUUGGUAAGGUAACGGCUUACCAAGGCAACGAUGCGUAGCCGACCUGAGAGGGUGAUCGGCCACACUGGAACUUAGACACGGUCCCGACUCCUACGGGAGGCAGCAGUAGGGAAUCUUCCGCAAUGGGCGAAAGCCUGACGGAGCAACGCCGCGUGAGUGAUGAAGGUCUUCGGAUCGUAAAACUCUGUUAUUAGGGAAGAACAAAUGUGUAAGUAACUAUGCACGUCUUGACGGUACCUAAUCAGAAAGCCACGGCUAACUACGUG